rnacentral:lncRNA from 1 species
GCAGACUUCCACUUCUGACCAUGAUGGAGUCGUUGGUUUCAGACAGACCUUCCACUGAAAAUAACUAUAAAAGAUGGGUAUAAAAACACAACAAGAAUAAGUACAACCAUUUGAAGGCAUCAGCAAGAUACCAAGGAAGCUAAGUUUCCCCAAGAGCCUGGAGUUUCAAAAGACAAAGUGAAGAUCCUGUAAAAAAGAAAAACACAUCAAGAGUGACUUCGAGCUGGGUACAUUCUAACUUAGAUGGCCUCAGCUGCAAAGCCAACUGGACUCCAGCCUUGCAGACCAGUGAGGAUGGAAAUGAUUGCAAAACCAAGAUGGACGAUGUUGAGAUGGACUCAACCCUGCUAUUGAGAUUGGCCCUUACAGGGGAGGAUAUUUGGUCUAGCGUUCAGAGUCUAAAGGCACAGAGUGAGAAUUUAUUUCAGGCAGAUAUCAAUAACCCCGAAGGCCCAGUCCAGCUGGUAGGGCAUACCUGAGAUGCAGGCAACGGGUAACAUGCAAAGUCAGGUGCACAGUGGGAUGUGGUUUGAGAGAUUAGUGCCCCUCCCCAGUGAGAUUUCCACAGCCAUCUGUGGGAUGGGGGACUGAGGCCAUUCUAGCUCCUUAGGAAGGGGCAAGAGGUCAUUGGAGGCAGGGACCUGGUGUGUAAGAGUACUGGGUGGGAAUCAGAUCAGGCAAGGACCAGGAGAGAUUGGCAGGGGGCUGAAGGGUCAGGCCUAGACACUGAGCCAGCAGGCAGUGCAGAGGGCUCAUGGCACCAGGGCUUACCCCAAGCACAAAGGCCUGAGAUGGAUUAGUCCCUAAUUUCAGACCUCUCUAGCUGUGGAUAGCUGACAUAUUUUCUUUCUCUGGGAUAAAUUAGAUGAGGACCUGGGAGGACCGCAUUUUCUGGGAGAAGCCCUGGAAUACAAGAUUUGAUAUACUUAAAGGGAGCUCACAUUCCCAUCAACCUGGAGCAACUCACCUGGGAAUGUCUGAGUUGGCCUCAAAGUCUCAGCCAAAUUCGGACCUGUCUAAGGAAUGUGGAAGCUGAAACCACCUUCACCUGGAUCUUUGCCCCGUGGCAACAUCCUUGCCCUGUGAAUUGCUGCCUACAUAUAUGGAAGUUGAAGAGAGGAGACAUGUUUUAGCCAAACAGAUAACAUAAAUGAUUUUUAUUAUGGAAUUAAAUAAUUAUGUAGAUAUAUUAGAGCAAAGUUAUUUUAUCUGGAUUGUAUUUUGGCCUAUGUGUCCUAUUCAACAACAAUCUUUUUAAAAAAAUUUACAUCCUCCUGCA